rnacentral:lncRNA from 1 species
CAGGUUGUUUUCUUACGCUAGGUUGUACAUGGUAUGUGUAUGCUAGAAUGGACUACUUCUCUGAACUAGCCAGACACUGCUGAAACAAAUUUCCUCUAGCCGUACUACAAGGAGUCUCUUUUUUCAUUUGAAGUAAAAUUUAGUGGGACUUACAAAUUUUGACAUUUGCACAAGCUCUGUCUCUUGCUUAGCAACGGGUCCUGCCAGAGCUUGCGCUUAGGUUGCCUUUGGGAUCGAUAGACUCCAUGUGGAGGUUUAAAUUGGCUGAAGCAGAUGAACUCUUGUAUUGUAGAGGCCUGCCGGAGUGAGCAGCUGAAACGACGCUUCGUAUAUCCUCCUGCAAUGUGGCUCUUUUUAAUGUAAAAAAGUUUGGCAUUGCUGCGUCUAGC